CUAACUAGCUCAGAGCCGCCAUGAAAGAAGCUUUGAAACUUAUCGCUAUUGUGCUAUUGACUCUUGUUAUUUUAACUUUAUCGGGUCGACCCGCUCCCGAAUCUGCGACACUAGUCGGGUCAUCUUCUCGAGUAUUUCGGAAUCGCUCCAAAAUGAAUCCAUUCGAUCAAAUAGACCCUAGUCUCCGGAAGAUUCCACGUAGCGGCGCAAAUCCUACUCAGAACAAGUAGCAACUCGUUAUAACAGGU